rnacentral:lncRNA from 1 species
CGCAACAUUUUGUGGUUUUCAGGGUCACUGCUCCCUUUGAGACUUGGGAGACCGCUGUGGAUCCACUCUGCGGAAAAGCACACAUACAUAUCAACUUGUGUGGGGUUUGUGGAUUCCCUACAUUUAGUCCACCUCCUGGUCAAGAACAGUCUACAAUGACAUGAAAAAACACCACCACCAAAUUAAAAGGCACCAUUUAUGGAGCAUUCAUCAUUAAAUGGGGAGAAAGAUUCUUUCAGGAAACUGAACUAAUUCCCUAAUGAGUAAUACAAAGGAAUUGACAUGUCAUCAAUACAAAGAUGUUCUAUGAAAAAGAGCAAAAGAUCACUUACUAACACAUAAAGAACAUGCAUGAGAAAAAAGUUGUCCCAGAGCACUUGGAAAUUCAGACUCGGGGUGGUGCUGUGGGUUGAAUUGCGUGCCCUAAAAAAAGAUAUGGUGAAGUCCUAACCCACAGUCCAUUGGAAACAGACAUGCAUUGAGGGAAGAUGAUAUAAAGAGAAACACAGGGAGAAGGCAGCCAUGUGACUGGAGUGAUGCAUCUAGAAGCCAAGGAACACCAAGGAUCACUGGCAAACACCAGAAGCUGGAAGAGCAAGGAGGGAUUCAUCUCUAGAGUCAUCAGAGAGAGCAUGGCCUUGCUGAUACCUUGACUUCAGACUUCUAAGCUCCAAAACUGCGACUGCUAGAUUUCUGUUGUUUUCAGUCACCCAGUUUGUAGUGUUUUGUUUUGGCAGCCGUCAGAAACUAGGGUAAUAGAAAUGGUAAGGCCUAGGUGCUGGGACUGCCACCUUCACAUGAAACAAAGCGAGAAUCAGAGAACAAAAAGCCCCUGCUGCUUGAGGGUGUCAUGGAGAAGUAGUGGGAAUAAGCUGGAAAUGCCAGUGGGAAAAAAAAGUCAUUAAAUGAGACAAAGAAGAGAACUUUCAAAUUCCAAUCAUAUAUGUUUAUGUGUAUAUUUAUAAUAUUAUGCUUAUGUUACAUGUACUUAACUUUAAUGAAGAUAUAAAGGUUAUGAACUAUCUAUGUACCAAAUAAAGUAGAAUCUACAUGAAAAACAAUAAAACUUAUGGGAAAUGCAAGGAGAAAGAAAAACAUACUAAUAGUAGAAGAUUUUACUUUUUUCUGUUUGACAGAUUAAGUGGAUUAAAAGUAAAUAUAAAUAAAUUAUAAUCUAAAUAAUAUAAUCAGCAAGGUAUAAUGUAUGUGUCAUAUAUGCACACACACACAUAUAUAUGUAUAUACACACACAUAUAUACAUAUCACAGAGAGUUAUGUAGAGAGAUUUUCCAUGGGCACUUAAAGGAAAACUGUAGCAGUUUUUCCCUCAAUAAAUUCUGCCCUCAAAAAAUAUAGUACAGAGAUUAUUUUCAGAUCAUAAUUCAAUUAGGUAGAAAAUAACGACAAAAUCAGAUAACAAAAAGCCCCUGCUGCAUGGGGGUAUCACGGAGAAGUAGUGGGAAAAAGCUAGAAAUGCCAGAGAAAAAAUGCAUAGUUUUAAAUAUUUGGUCUUAAAUUCAGUAAACAAGUAUGAGAACAAAGCAUCCAACCUGGAAAGUUAAAAAAAAAAAUCACAAAAUGAGCCUAAAGAAAAAAGAGGAAAAAGUGAAUAAAGUACCAAGAAUAAUGUAAUGAAUUAGAAAACACAGAAAAUGGAAUAAGGAUAGAAUAAAUAAAAUUGAAAAAAUAUUUUACAAGACAAUAAAAUGGAUUAGUUUCUAUUCCUAAUAAAAAAAAUCAGAAGGCAAAUAUACACAAAAUAGAAAUAAUAAAGAAGAAUUAACACAGAGACAAAAUUAAUCAUGAAAACCGUUCAACUCUACAAAAACAAAUUUGAAAACUAGAAUGACUAUUAAAUUAUCUAAGAAAAUAUAAUUUACCAAAAUGAUUCCAGAAGACAUAAAGCAUUUUAAAUGUACUGAUAUUCAUGGGAAAGUUGUCAAAGAGCUAUCUUCCAAAAGGCACCAGGCCAAAUGGUUUUACAAAUAAUUUUUUUCUGCAUUAAAGAACAAAUAAUUCCAAUAUUCCAAUAUUAAUGAUUCAGCUCUAGAACAUUGAAAAGAAGAGAAAAAAUCCAAAUUAUUUUAAUACAUUAAGCAAUACAUCAGAGACAAAUCCCAGUGAAGACUGAACCCAAAAGGAAAUGCCAGACUCAUUUCACUUAUGAAUAUUAAUUUUAAAAUCCAAAAUAAGGCAUUAGCAACAAAAUUAAUAGCACUUAAAAGUAUAAUAAAUCAUACUUAAGUGGAAUUUAUUCUAGGA